GCUGGAGAGAAUGAGCUUGGAGCCGCAGGGCUUAAUCCCGCGCGGCUCAGAGAUGGGUUUCUGGACUCGCGAAGCAGCUGCAACAAGGCAUCACUCACUGUAUAAGUAUUUCCAUUUCUGAGAGCAAAAGGAAGAACUUAAGCGGGCGGCACUUGGAGUGUAAAUUGCUUUGUAGUAUUUAAAGGCAGAAUGGAUCCUGGGCAGCCGAGCUGAUCAUGAGGUUCCUGAGGCCUCCUAGCCAUGCUUCCUGUGCAGCCUAUGGAACUGAUCACUGUUGUAUUUUUAAACCUUAUUCCUGGAAGCACUACGGAUAUCAGAUCAAUUUAGAAAGCCAAAGAGUACCUCUGGGAAUGAAAUGGUAGUAAUAGAAACAAUAUUUGGCCAAACUAUCGCUGUAUGCCAAUGAUGCCAAAAAUCACAGUAACCUGGCAGCAACAAACCGGCAGGACUUCCUGUGAAAUCAUGACCACCAUGUGCUCUUUCAGCCUCUAUCAGUUCCUACCUCUAAGCACCUGAGAGCCAAAGCAAACCACAGGAAACCACAGGUACUAACUCUUUUAGACCUGAUGAAGUGUCUCCCAAAUACAGUCUGGCAUGGUGAGUACUGGAGUAACUGGCAAUCUUUUAGAAUGGAGAGAAAAUAAGAAAUUGGGAAAAAUUUGGCAUUUGCUUUCAAUAGAGAUCAGAUUCUGACCUCUGGAAAGAAGAAAUAAGGGAAAAUGUUUAUGAUGGGGAAGGAUCAAAGGGGAACUUGUGGGAAAGGAAGAGGCUGCCAGAAAAGGAGUUUUGAGAUCUGAAAAGAGACUUGUGUAUGUCUGAGGGAAGAGUUGGAGAGAGGUAACCAGGGGAGAAAAUCUGGGAAGUUUUGAGCAGUGAAGAUCUGAUGAGAUGGAAAAGGAGAAA
rnacentral:lncRNA from 1 species